UACGUAGGGGGCUAGCGUUGUCCGGAAUCAUUGGGCGUAAAGAGCGUGUAGGCGGCCCGGUAAGUCCGCUGUGAAAGUCGGGGGCUCAACCCUCGAAUGCCGGUGGAUACUGCCGGGCUAGAGUCCGGAAGAGGCGAGUGGAAUUCCUGGUGUAGCGGUGGAAUGCGCAGAUAUCAGGAGGAACACCAAUAGCGAAGGCAGCUCGCUGGGACGGUACUGACGCUGAGGCGCGAAAGCGUGGGGAGCGAACAGG
rnacentral:rRNA from 1 species